rnacentral:lncRNA from 1 species
UAUAUAACUUUGUAGUUAUUGUAAUAUAUAUAAAAAAUUUAUAUGAAAUUAAAAAGCGAGGCUUUUGUUAGCUUUAUCUACAACUGUAAAUUAGACAUUUAUCUACCGUUUGAUAGUUGACUCAAAAAAUUGGACAAGUUCUUCUUUUGUCUUAAUUAAACGUACACUGACACAACUUGAUUCAAUUUUUUAGGCAUCAUUUUGAUGAGAUUUUUAUUAGUAUUAUUUAAAGUACGAUCAUAUAUGAAUAACUUUCUUAAAUGUUUUUACUCAAAUACCCCAGAUUUAAAAAAAAAAAAAAUCCCAAAAUAACCCA